CCCAGUGCUCUGAAUGUCA
rnacentral:ncRNA from 2 species